rnacentral:lncRNA from 1 species
UGGGGUAGAGACGCUAGGCCGGCACUGCCUAGGUGGGCCGGGCGGUGCGAGGGUCGCCUUUCAGCCUUUACCUCUACCCACUGAAAUGGAGUAGGUCGGUGAGCGCCGAUCUGCUGGAGAAUCUCAUUAUCCCAUCGGCGCUCUGCCUGCUCCUGGCCUCCAAGCCUCUGAAGCCCCUCGGGUUUCAGCUGCCGGCUACCCUCGAGCCCGUGGUGCCCACGAGAGAGGCGACUUUACGUCAGCGGCCCUGGGCUGAGAUUUGAGAACGCGACCAAGUGGAGAAUGUUGGAGCCAGAUUUUAAAAUCCUUGUCUUCCUUCUGCGUGCUACUUGAUCUAAAUGAGAUACGGCAAAGUCACAGAACCUGUUUUUAUGUUUUUGCCUGAUUCAUACGGGCUUCUCCGGUGAAGAUGGGCCUGAAGUAACGCUUGGGUUGCUUCUGACGUUAUAACUCAUCCUGUAGCUGCAGCAACCGUGGUCCUUGCAACCUCAUAAAAAUGUUGCCAGCAUUGUUUCGAUAGUGCUGCUUAAUUCUUGGAAGGUUCUUCGGACUUCACACAUUCCAGCAGUAGCUCUCUCAGCUCCUGUCCUGCACAGCUUUGAAGUGCUGGCUGGAGUGCAGUGGUGCCAUCUCGGCUCACUGCAGCCUCAACCUCCUGGGCUCAAGCGAUCCUCCUGCCACACCCUCCUGAGUAGCUGGGAUUACAGGUGAUGUCAUUGAACUCUUAAGUGCAAGAUGAAACAAGUCUUUCUGGGGUUCUAAGUAGUUAACCAACAGGACACAGCCCUGGUGAUGGCUUUCUGAGGAUGACACGAUGGAGGCUUCUCCAAUAGCUCUAAAACUGCGGUGUGGAAAACAUUCGGCAGCCUCAAAGAGCGGUCUUGUUGACCCCAACUAUAUCAUUUUUCAUCAAAAUCAUUCUUGUAAAGAAUGACCAGGCAACACUCUUUGAAAAUUGGAGGCCAUUUGCAGCUGCUCUCUGUUGAGGAAAGUGAAUAAUAGGGUGCCCUCAAGGAAUUGCAAAGGUAUCACUCAACAGAAACUUUCGUGUCUGAAGAAAACUAGAUCAUUUUAUCAUGGUAGGCAUGCUGAUAUGUUUGCUUUAAUAAAAUGCCAUAUUUCUGCCUUUAAUCUCUUGUCAACCCGCUAUUAAAAAGCCCCAAAGUGCAUGUGUGCAGCGCAUGUAAACACUUGUGGUUUUGAGGUUACCACAGAACAUACUAAUAAAGCAUGUAAUUUGUGUUUUGUGCAC